AGGCUUACCACAGGCGACGAUCAGUAGCUGGGUGUGAGGGACGACCCCACACCGGAGGUGAGAGACACUCCAGAGUCCUACGGGAGGCAGCAGUGAGGGGAAAUUUGCAAUGGGGAAAAGCCACAGAGCAAUACCCGUGAGGGGGGGGAAGGCCUUGGGUUGGUACCUUCUUUUUCGGGGAAAAAAAUUGAAGGUACCUAGGAGAAGCAUCGGCUAACCCGUGCCAGCAGCCGCGGUAAGACAGGGGAUGCGAGUGUUAUCCGGAAUUAUUGGGCGUAAAGCGUCCGCAGGUUGAUUUCAAAGUCUUUUGUCAAAUCUUUAAGCUCAACUAAAAAACGGCAGUAGAAACUAGUUGUCUUGAGUAUGGUAGGGGUAGAGGGAAUUCCCAGUGGAGCGGUGAAAUGCGUAGAGAUCGGGAAGAACACCGGUGGCGAAGGCACUUUGCUGGACCAUUACUGAC
rnacentral:rRNA from 1 species